GAUUGAAGAACGCAGCGAAAUGCGAUAAGUAAUGUGAAUUGCAGAAUUCAGUGAACCAUCGAAUCUUUGAACGCACAUUGCGCCCGGCAGUAAUCUGCCGGGCAUGCCUGUCCGAGCGUCAUUUCUGCCCUCGAGCGCGGUUAGCUUGCUAUCCGCUGCCCGGUGUUGGGGCGCUACGGUUCAGGGCCUCGUGCCCUGUCGUAGGCCCCGAAAUGAAGUGGCGGUCCCGCCGCGGCGCCCCCUGCGUAGUAGUCUUACAACUCGCAUCGGGACCCGGUGGAGGCCAGCCGUCAACCCAUCUUUCUAUGGUUUGACCUCGGAUCAGGUAGGGUUACCCGCUGAACUUAAGCAUAUCAAUAAGCGGAGGA
rnacentral:misc_RNA from 1 species